CUGAUAAUUCCAGACCUUGGUUUUUAGAUAAUUGAUUUUAUGGUCUAGGACAUUUCUUGGAGGCGUUUUGUUGGGAUCUUAACGGAUUUUUACCUAUAUUAUUCUUCUUUGACCAUUUUGACUUGAGGAUUGAGAUUGGUCCACUCCCCUUUAAGAUAUGGGGAGAAGGGUCAAAAGAAACGAGUGUUCCUGAAAUUGUUCUAUGUUGACGAAGUUUUCUUCGUGUGAUGUGAUUUCGGAUAAAGAAUUAGCGUUGUGAGAUAUUCUCAAAGAAACCGUGGGUUGAAGAUGGAUUUCUUCAAAGUAAAUAAGUUUAGAAAAGCCCACAAACCAGACCUAGAGAAGGAUUUAGAGGAUAAGCCUGUGGCACAGCCAGAGGAACCAAAGAAUGACAAUGCAGGUGGUGGUGGUGGUGGUCAUGUUGUGGGUAACAAGUCUGCUAAUGCUGAUGCUGUAGCU
rnacentral:misc_RNA from 1 species